rnacentral:rRNA from 1 species
UACGUAGGUGGCAAGCGUUGUCCGGAAUUAUUGGGCGUAAAGCGCGCGCAGGCGGUCCUUUAAGUCUGAUGUGAAAGCCCACGGCUCAACCGUGGAGGGUCAUUGGAAACUGGGGGACUUGAGUACAGAAGAGGAAAGCGGAAUUCCACGUGUAGCGGUGAAAUGUGUAGAGAUCGGGAGGAACACCGGUGGCGAAGGCGGGUCUCUGGGCAAUUCCUGACGCUGAGGCGCGAAAGCGUGGGGAGCAAACGGG